rnacentral:lncRNA from 1 species
GUCCGGAAUGGUAUUAAUAGUGGUAACCGCAGCUAGAAAAAAGAAAAGUUUGUACAAUCACAGUUACUUUUUAUACUCUUUGCUUUAAUUUCUAUACAAUCAACUCCAAACUGUCAUGUACUGUUCAGUAACAUCAUGACAAAAAUAAAACAGGCUAAAUCUGAAGAUUGACGAGUAAGAGCCUUCCAAAAACGGAAGUUAACCUUUUUU